ACAUAUCCCAUACUGGGCGGUAUUGUCAACAAGAAACUGCUUUUAAAAAGAUGAAUAAUCAGUCCAUGAGUCCAUAGCACUAAAAACACUAAAACAUUUACAGCUUUUGAACUAUCAGGUGUCCGAUUUCGUGUGCACAAGUGAUACUUUAUCCAUGCCAAUACCUCAAGAUGUCAUGAUGUAUUUCAUAAAGACACCAAAAGAUGGAAUUCAUAGUUUAAUUUUCAACUAAAUCAUUAACCAAGAAGAACUCAACCAUGGAAAACAUACAUCACAACAAUAUUUUCCCCAUCAAUGAGAAACUUUUGAGAAAUCAGAGAGGCAGGCAUCUACGACUAACUGAGAAUAAUUCUACAGUAUUUCAAAAGAAGUACUUUUAGUAUUAGAAAUUCGCAGUUGCAAUUCAGCCGAAUAAAUGAAUCCCAUUUGAUAGAAGACACGGAGGAUAUUAUUUUCAAAAGGCUUCCUAAUCUUCAAAAACUUGAAGUCUAUAUCGGACAACUACCAGAUUGUUCAGCAGAGAAGAUUUGUUUUCCAAGAUUGGAUGUCCUUAACGAACUUGAAAAACUCCAUUUAUCUGCUUCUAGGCGUUCAUUCAGUAAAUAUACGCAAUGGCUCUCUCUGACAUCCGAUACACUUUCAAGAAUUGCUAGACUACCCAACCUUCAAGAACUAAUUCUAGAAGACACAAUCAUCGAGGAGGGGAAUGAAUGGAACAUGGAAGAUGUCACCUUCCAGAAUCUCAAAUCUCUAAAA
rnacentral:lncRNA from 1 species